rnacentral:lncRNA from 1 species
CGUCAUUAGCACUUUCUCGUCGUGCUCUGACUCAAAAUCCGCCUCUGUAGAUUCCUUCGCCUCAUAUAGGGCGGUAAUCUCCUCGUUCUGUGUCUGCACCACAGUGCGCAGAUGCACAUUCCUAUCCAACAUUGCCAGGUACAAUGAUCUGAUUUCAUCCGGAGGUGUUGACUCCCGAGUAGGUACCACCGUAUUAAUCGUUGUUACCUCCAUCUCCUCCUCCACAUCUAUCAUCAUAUUCAGAUAUGAUGCUAUUCCCAUUGUUUCCUCAGAGUACUCCUCCUCAGAAAUGUACUCUUCUGGAUCAGAGUCUUC